UACGGAGGGUGCGAGCGUUGUCCGGAAUCACUGGGCGUAAAGGGCGCGUAGGCGGCAUGCCAAGCGUGUGGUGAAAGCCCGGGGCUCAACCCCGGGUCGGCCGUGCGGACUGGCGUGCUCGAGCACUGUAGGGGCGGGUGGAAUUCCGGGUGUAGCGGUGGAAUGCGUAGAGAUCCGGAAGAACACCGGUGGCGAAGGCGGCCUGCUGGGCAGGAAGGCUCGCAAGAGCCGGCUGACGCUGAGGCGCGACAGCGUGGGGAGCAAACAGG
rnacentral:rRNA from 1 species